rnacentral:rRNA from 1 species
UGGCCAGAUAUAGUUGCAGGUAUUCAAACGUUCAAGAGGGGCUGCAUUUGGCGAGUGGGAACUGGAUCUAAUAUCAGUAUUUGGAAUGAUCCUUGAUUACCUACGAGUGCCACUAGAAAACUGAUCACAAAUAGAGGUGCAACAAUGCUAUCAAAGGUUUAUGAGUUGAUAGACCCGCAUACGGGACAGUGGGAUGAGGAACUAAUCCGGGACAUCUUUUCCCCGGUUGAUGUUAACAGGAUUCUACAGAUCCCUUUAAAUGCUCACUUGGUGGAAGAUUUUGUGGCGUGGAACUUCACACGGUCAGGCAAUUUUACUGUGCGUUCAGCUUACCAUAAGGAGUUUGAACACCAGUAUGGUACGAGGUGGAGGCGAGCAGAUGGGCAAGGUUCAGAAAAUAUUAAUCCAAUGUGGAAGGACAUGUGGAAACUAAAGAUUCCUGGAAAGAUAAAACACUUCGGUUGGAAAGUAUUGCAUGGUUCACUUCCUUGCUUGGGCGUUUUGGCAAAUAAACAUAUUCCAUGCUCAGGGCUUUGUCCGAUUUGCAAGACUGGAGUAGAGGAUAUACAACACUGUUUAUUUUUGUGUCCGCGAGCAGCAUCAAUAUGGAGACAGCUGGGUCUUGAGAGUAUUAUAAAAGAAGCAGUGGAAGAAGACAUGUCAGGCUCCACCACAAUUGAAAUCAUGUCUAAGUUACAGGGCGAUGAUCAUGAGCUGCCAAUAGCAGACUUGUCACUGGUUACGGCGUGGUAUAUUUGGUGGCAGCGACGACAGCUUGUUAAGGGAAUUGUGGUCCAAGAUCCAAUGCAAACAACCUUAGCGAUUAGAGUUCUGACGACAAACUAA